AUGUUAUCACGGGAGACACACGGCGGGUGCUAACGUCCGUCGUGAAGAGGGAAACAACCCAGACCGCCAGCUAAGGUCCCAAAGUCAUGGUUAAGUGGGAAACGAUGUGGGAAGGCCCAGACAGCCAGGAUGUUGGCUUAGAAGCAGCCAUCAUUUAAAGAAAGCGUAAUAGCUCACUGGUCGAGUCGGCCUGCGCGGAAGAUGUAACGGGGCUAAACCAUGCACCGAAGCUGCGGCAGCGACACUGUGUGUUGUUGGGUAGGGGAGCGUUCUGUAAGCCUGUGAAGGUGUGCUGUGAGGCAUGCUGGAGGUAUCAGAAGUGCGAAUGCUGACAUAAGUAACGAUAAAGCGGGUGAAAAGCCCGCUCGCCGGAAGACCAAGGGUUCCUGUCCAACGUUAAUCGGGGCAGGGUGAGUCGACCCCUAAGGCGAGGCCGAAAGGCGUAGUCGAUGGGAAACAGGUUAAUAUUCCUGUACUUGGUGUUACUGCGAAGGGGGGACGGAGAAGGCUAUGUUGGCCGGGCGACGGUUGUCCCGGUUUAAGCGUGUAGGCUGGUUUUCCAGGCAAAUCCGGAAAAUCAAGGCUGAGGCGUGAUGACGAGGCACUACGGUGCUGAAGCAACAAAUGCCCUGCUUCCAGGAAAAGCCUCUAAGCAUCAGGUAACAUCAAAUCGUACCCCAAACCGACACAGGUGGUCAGGUAGAGAAUACCAAGGCGCUUGAGAGAACUCGGGUGAAGGAACUAGGCAAAAUGGUGCCGUAACUUCGGGAGAAGGCACGCUGAUAUGUAGGUGAAGUCCCUCGCGGAUGGAGCUGAAAUCAGUCGAAGAUACCAGCUGGCUGCAACUGUUUAUUAAAAACACAGCACUGUGCAAACACGAAAGUGGACGUAUACGGUGUGACGCCUGCCCGGUGCCGGAAGGUUAAUUGAUGGGGUCAGCGCAAGCGAAGCUCUUGAUCGAAGCCCCGGUAAACGGCGGCCGUAACUAUAACGGUCCUAAGGUAGCGAAAUUCCUUGUCGGGUAAGUUCCGACCUGCACGAAUGGCGUAAUGAUGGCCAGGCUGUCUCCACCCGAGACUCAGUGAAAUUGAACUCGCUGUGAAGAUGCAGUGUACCCGCGGCAAGACGGAAAGACCCCGUGAACCUUUACUAUAGCUUGACACUGAACAUUGAGCCUUGAUGUGUAGGAUAGGUGGGAGGCUUUGAAGUGUGGACGCCAGUCUGCAUGGAGCCGACCUUGAAAUACCACCCUUUAAUGUUUGAUGUUCUAACGUGGACCCGUGAUCCGGGUUGCGGACAGUGUCUGGUGGGUAGUUUGACUGGGGCGGUCUCCUCCUAAAGAGUAACGGAGGAGCACGAAGGUUGGCUAAUCCUGGUCGGACAUCAGGAGGUUAGUGCAAUGGCAUAAGCCAGCUUGACUGCGAGCGUGACGGCGCGAGCAGGUGCGAAAGCAGGUCAUAGUGAUCCGGUGGUUCUGAAUGGAAGGGCCAUCGCUCAACGGAUAAAAGGUACUCCGGGGAUAACAGGCUGAUACCGCCCAAGAGUUCAUAUCGACGGCGGUGUUUGGCACCUCGAUGUCGGCUCAUCACAUCCUGGGGCUGAAGUAGGUCCCAAGGGUAUGGCUGUUCGCCAUUUAAAGUGGUACGCGAGCUGGGUUUAGAACGUCGUGAGACAGUUCGGUCCCUAUCUGCCGUGGGCGCUGGAGAACUGAGGGGGGCUGCUCCUAGUACGAGAGGACCGGAGUGGACGCAUCACUGGUGUUCGGGUUGUCAUGCCAAUGGCACUGCCCGGUAGCUAAAUGCGGAAGAGAUAAGUGCUGAAAGCAUCUAAGCACGAAACUUGCCCCGAGAUGAGUUCUCCCUGACCCUUUAAGGGUCCUGAAGGAACGUUGAAGACGACGACGUUGAUAGGCCGGGUGUGUAAGCGCAGCGAUGCGUUGAGCUAACCGGUACUAAUGAACCGUGAGGCUUAACCUU
rnacentral:rRNA from 1 species